rnacentral:lncRNA from 1 species
UGACCUUCUUCUUAACCAAUAAGACUGGACUCGAGUAAGGACUGCGACUUGCUUUGAGAAUUCCUUUCUGAAACAUGUCAUGAACCAGCACUGUCGUCGCUUCUUGAUGUACUUGUAGAUACCUAUAUGAUCUGACACUUACUGGAGAUGUUCCUUGCUUUCAAACAAUCUGGUGUUCAAUACCACGAACCGGAGGUAAUCCGUCAGGCAUACAAAACACCUUUGGAAAUUUAUCCAAAACUUGCAACGUUCUUAACCAAUGUACUCCCAGCACUAAAUCUACUCCAUUCAAUUCCAAAGCUAUACAAUCGAGCACAAAAUCAAAAUCUUGCAUAUGGAUGGAUAUAAACAUCCUUGCAAACUCCCAAGCCUUGAACCAUAAUACCUGUUCCCAAAAGAAUACGUGGACGAGAAUUCACCGUUUUAGUCAAAUGAGCCUUCUUAGUGAACACCGGUGAUACAAAAUUAUGCGUGAUGAUCACCAUCGACGUAUUGCCUACACGUCCUCUGACUUUCAUUGUUGUUGGCGAGUUCAUACCAAGAAAAUAAUACAGAGACAGUUGCAUCAAUUGCGAUUCCAUACUAAUCUGAUCACCUCCUUCUUCCAAAAUCUCAACCUCAAACCCAUUGACCAUCAUCACCAUCAACGCACAGAAUCUGUUGCGUGUCAAUUGAUACAGCAAACCUUUCUAACAUCCUUUUUCUUAAACUGAAUCCAUCUUUCAAAAGUUUCCUCUUCAAACUCCCAAGAAUAUCAGUUCCAUACUGGUCCAGUUAAGCUAAGAGCUACCAGCUCCAGUUUCUGUCUAUCGUUGUCCUAAAAUAUCUCUCCACUCGUGAAAUCCAGAUCCAUCGAAUAUAGGUAAUUCAAUCUUUUUCAACAAAGUAUCUUGAUUAUUAUCAAACACAUUCAAAACAUUUUGAAAACCUAGCUCCUCUGUUCCUAACUCAUUCCGAGGAUCCAAGAUGGCUAUGAAG